rnacentral:lncRNA from 1 species
UGAAGUAUAUAUAUGAGCACUCGAACCAAAGUCUAAUAUCCAACUAGAAGUAGAAGAAAUCGUAAGGUUAGAUUCAAUUACGAGCAUACCUUUUGAAGGUUUGUCAUCUUUUUUAUCUUCAGGCUCUCUAGGUAGAGUGGACAGUUCCUCCUCCAAUGACCUUCAGCAUCACAAUAGAAAUACUUUUUCUUUGCUUCAACCUUCUUCGAAACAUCCUUCUUU